rnacentral:piRNA from 1 species
UGUGUGGUGCGUACUACUCUGCUGCAAAGUU